rnacentral:rRNA from 1 species
CCUACGUGAGGCAGCAGUGGGGAAUAUUGCACAAUGGGGGCAACCCUGACCCAGCGACGCCGCGUGAGUGAAGAAGGUCCUCGGAUCGUAAAGCUCUAUCAGCAGUGACGAUAAUGACGGUAGCGUAUCAAGAAGCACCGGCAAACUUCGUGCCAGCAGCCGCGGUAAUACGUAGGGUGCGAGCGUUAUUCGGAAUUACUGGGCGUAAAGGGAGUGUAGGCGGAUAUGUAAGUUUGCGGUGAAAUGCCGGGGCUCAACCCCGGAACUGCCAUGAUGACUGUGUGUCUAGAGUGAUGGAGGGGUAAGCGGAAUACCCAGUGUAGCGGUGAAAUUCGUAGAUAUUGGGAAGAACACCGGUGGCGAAGGCGGCUAACUGGACAUUUACUGACGUUGAGGCUCGAAAGCAUGGGGAGCAAACAGGAUUAGAUACCCCUGUAGUC